AACGAACGCUGGCGGCAUGCUUCAUACAUGCAAGUCGAACGAGAAAGUCACUUCGGUGGCGAGUAGAGUGGCGCACGGGUGAGUAACACGUAGGUAACCUGCCCUUUAGCUGGGGAUAACAAGAAGAAAUUUUUGCUAAUACCGGAUAAGCUUAACCAAAUUGAAGUUGGUUAAGGAAAGAUGGCCUCUGAAUAUGCUAUCACUAAAGGAAGGGCCUGCGGGCCAUUAGCUAGUUGGUAGGGUAACGGCCUACCAAGGCGAUGAUAGCUAGCCGGUCUGGGAGGACGACCGGCCACACUGGAACUGAGACACGGUCCAGACUCCUACGGGAGGCAGCAGUAGGGAAUAUUGCGCAAUGGAGGAAACUCUGACGCAGCGAUGCCGCAUGAGUGAGGAAGGUCUUCGGAUUGUAAAACUCUGUCAGUGGGGACAAAUUGGAAUACGGAUAACACCCGUAUUUUUUGAUGGUACCCACAAAGGAAGCACCGGCUAACUUCGUGCCAGCAGCCGCAGUAA
rnacentral:rRNA from 1 species